rnacentral:rRNA from 1 species
UGGGGAAUAUUGCACAAUCGGGGGAAAACCCUGAUGCAGCGACGCCGCGUGAAGGAAGAAGUAUCUCGGUAUGUAAACUUCUAUCAGCAGGGAAGAUAGUGACGGUACCUGACUAAGAAGCCCCGGCUAACUACGUGCC